rnacentral:rRNA from 1 species
CGGAGUGGCGGACGGGUGAGGAAUACAUCGGAAUCUACUCUGUCGUGGGGGAUAACGUAGGGAAACUUACGCUAAUACCGCAUACGACCUACGGGUGAAAGCAGGGGAUCUUCGGACCUUGCGCGAUUGAAUGAGCCGAUGUCGGAUUAGCUAGUUGGCGGGGUAAAGCCCACCAAGGCGACGAUCCGUAGCUGGUCUGAGAGGAUGACCAGUCACACUGGAACUGAGACACGGUCCAGACUCCUACGGGAGGCAGCAGCG